AAGGUCUACUCCUCCUUACUGAAAUCCUGUCAAUGAUAAUAUUAUGAUAAGAUAUGAAGGUCUACUCCUCCUUACUAAAGUCCUGUCAAUGAUAAUAUUAUGAUGAGAUAUGAAGGUCUACUCCUCCUUACUAAAGUCCUGUCAAUGAUAAUAUUAUGAUAAGAUAUGAAGGUCUACUCCUCCUUACUAAAGUCCUGUCAAUGAUAAUAAUAUGAUAAGAUAUGAAGGUCUACUCCUCCUUACUAAAGUCCUGUCAAUGGUAAUAUUAUGAUAAGAUAUGAAGGUCUACUCCUCCUUACUAAAGUCCUGUCAAUGAUAAUAUUAUGAUAAGAUAUGAAGGUUUACUCCUCCUUACUAAAGUCCUGUCAAUGGUAAUAUUAUGAUAAGAUAUGAAGGUCUACUCCUCCUUACUAAAGUCCUGUCAAUGAUAAUAUUAUGAUAAGAUAUGAAGGUCUACUCCUCCUUACUAAAGUCCUGUCAAUGGUAAUAUUAUGAUAAGAUAUGAAGGUCUACUCCUCCUUACUAAAGUCCUGUCAAUGAUAAUAUUAUGAUAAGAUAUGAAGGUCUACUCCUCCUUACUAAAGUCCUGUCAAUGGUAAUAUUAUGAUAAGAUAUGAAGGUCUACUCCUCCUUACUAAAGUCCUGUCAAUGAUAAUAUUAUGAUAAGAUAUGAAGGUCUACUCCUCCUUACUAAAGUCCUGUCAAUGGUAAUAUUAUGAUAAGAUAUGAAGGUCUACUCCUCCUUACUAAAGUCCUGUCAAUGGUAAUAUUAUGAUAAGAUAUGAAGGUCUACUCCUCCUUACUAAAGUCCUGUCAAUGGUAAUAUUAUGAUAAGAUAUGAAGGUCUACUCCUCCUUACUAAAGUCCUGUCAAUGGUAAUAUUAUGAUAAGAUAUGAAGGUCUACUCCUCCUUACUAAAGUCCUGUCAAUGGUAAUAUUAUGAUAAGAUAUGAAGGUCUACUCCUCCUUACUAAAGUCCUGUCAAUGGUAAUAUUAUGAUAAGAUAUGAAGGUCUACUCCUCCUUACUAAAGUCCUGUCAAUGGUAAUAUUAUGAUAAGAUAUGAAGGUCUACUCCUCCUUACUAAAGUCCUGUCAAUGGUAAUAUUAUGAUAAGAUAUGAAGGUCUACUCCUCCUUACUAAAGUCCUGUCAAUGGUAAUAUUAUGAUAAGAUAUGAAGGUCUACUCCUCCUUACUAAAGUCCUGUCAAUGAUAAUAUUAUGAUAAGAUAUGAAGGUCUACUCCUCCUUACUGAAAUCCUGUCAAUGGAACUUGGUUAACAUUUACAUAGGCUCUACAGGCAGUACCUGUUCAGUCAAUGGAAG